GACGAACGCUGGCGGCGUGCUUAACACAUGCAAGUCGAACGGAAAGGCCCUGCUUUUGUGGGGUGCUCGAGUGGCGAACGGGUGAGUAACACGUGAGUAACCUGCCCUUGACUGUGGGAUAACUUCAGGAAACUGGGGCUAAUACCGGAUAGGAUCUCCUGCUGCAUGGUGGGGGUUGGAAAGUUUCGGCGGUUGGGGAUGGACUCGCGGCUUAUCAGCUUGUUGGUGAGGUAGUGGCUUACCAAGGCUUCGACGGGUAGCCGGCCUGAGAGGGUGACCGGCCACAUUGGGACUGAGAUACGGCCCAGACUCCUACGGGAGGCAGCAGUGGGGAAUAUUGCACAAUGGGCGGAAGCCUGAUGCAGCAACGCCGCGUGCGGGAUGACGGCCUUCGGGUUGUAAACCGCUUUCGCCUGUGACGAAGCGUGAGUGACGGUAAUGGGUAAAGAAGCACCGGCUAACUACGUG
rnacentral:rRNA from 1 species